rnacentral:rRNA from 1 species
GGAGGAAUAUUGGUCAAUGGGCGCAGGCCUGAACCAGCCAAGUCGCGUGAGGGAGGACGGUCCUACGGAUUGUAAACCUCUUUUGUCGGGGAGUAACGUGCGGGACGGGUCCCGUAUUGAGAGUACCCGAAGAAAAAAGCAUCGGCUAACUCCGUGCCAGCAGCCGCGGUAAUACGGAGGAUGCGAGCGUUAUCCGGAUUUAUUGGGUUUAAAGGGUGCGUAGGCGGACCGUUAAGUCAGUGGUAAAAUUGAGGGGCUCAACCUCUUCCGGCCAUUGAAACUGGCGGACUUGAGUGAGCGAGAAGUAUGCGGAAUGCGUGGUGUAGCGGUGAAAUGCAUAGAUAUCACGCAGAACUCCGAUUGCGAAGGCAGCAUACCGGCGCUCAACUGACGCUGAGGCACGAAAGCGUGGGGAUCAAACAGGAUUAGAUACCCUGGUAGU